rnacentral:rRNA from 1 species
AAUGAACGCUGGCGGCAUGCCUAACACAUGCAAGUCGAACGACAGCACAGUGAGAGCUUGCUCUUGCGGGUGGCGAGUGGCGGACGGGUGAGGAAUGCAUCGGAUACCACUUUUACUGGGGUGAUAACGUAGGAAAACUUACAAUAACACAGAAUAUAUCCUACGGGUUAGAGCAAGAGUUCUUCGCACCUUUCGUGAUUGUAUGAGCCGAUGUCGCAUUAGCUAGUUGGCGGGGUAAAGGCCCACCAAGGCGACGAUCCGUAGCUGAUCUGAGAGGAUGAUCAGCCACACUGGAACUGAGACACGGUCCAGACUCCUACGGGAGGCAGCAGUGGGGAAUAUUGCGCAAUGGGCGAAAGCCUGAUCCAGCAAUACCGCGUGAGUGAUGAAGGCCUUCGGGUCGUAAAGCCCUGUUGUUGGGAAAGAAAAGAAGCAUGUUUAUCCCUGGCCGUUCUGACGGUACCCAAAGAAUAAGCACCGGCUAACUUCGUG